AUGGCGGCUGCUUGUGAGAGAAAUGGAAGUGGGCAAAGCCUGGAAGAUCUCUUGGAUAACGAAGGCACAACAGCUGCUCUCGUUUUCAACGCUAUUAUGAUCGUAGCAGCUCAGCCACUGACGUGUUCGACUCCUGGCGCAGCAUGACAUGUAAAGAAGAUAAAUGGAUGGAGUGGACUCUACAGAGGAUUGUUACCAAGGGUAUGCUCAUCUAUGAUUGGAACUCUCGUAAACAAUACAAUGCUACAGGUUAUGGGUAAAAAAGACAUUAUGACCUUGUCCUACUGGUUCUUCCAGAAAAUAUGGUGGGAUUGCUCUUUUUAUUGUAUGUUAUAAAUUUUUUUUUUUAACUUAAUUAGAAUGAUUUAAGUGGUACAGCUCUGUAUGUUUAUUUUUUUUUCUCCAUUUAUUCUUGAAAUUUUUAGAGCAAGCAAGAAGAAUUGCUAGAGUUUGUUGAAGAGUUAUUCGCAAAUUUCAUUCAACCACAUCGACUGACGAAGACAGCAAUAAGACAGUGGAAAAGUCGCGAUCUCACUUUUCUCGGGCCACAAAACACAUCGCUUCCACGUUACAACCUUAGAUUUCGUCCGCUCAGUCAAGUCCAGCUUGUGUUUCGUCGAAGUUGCUGAUAAGGUGGCCCGAGUGCGACGUCGAGGAUAAAUGAAUGUCAUUUUGUCACGAGUUUCUUCAAGGAAAACAUCAAGCAUAGAAUGUGAACUUCUCAAAGUAAGAAAUUCGAGGGAGGAAAGAGAAACUGGACAACCUUUAACCUGGGCAGGGUCAAGCAUAGAAUGAAAGCAAAAGUUUGGAAAUUAAGAGAUACAAGGGAGGAAAAUGGAGCCGAAAGGAAACAUCCAACAAG